GAACGGGUGAGUAACACGUGGGCAACCUGCCUGUAAGACUGGGAUAACAUCGAGAAAUCGGUGCUAAUACUGGAUAAUAAAAAGAACUGCAUGGUUCUUUUUUGAUGGUUUCGGCUAUCACUUACAGAUGGGCCCGCGGCGCAUUAGCUAGUUGGUGGGGUAACGGCUCACCAAGGCGACGAUGCGUAGCCGACCUGAGAGGGUGAUCGGCCACACUGGGACUGAGACACGGCCCAGACUCCUACGGGAGGCAGCAGUAGGGAAUCUUCCGCAAUGGACGAAAGUCUGACGGAGCAACGCCGCGUGAUGAAGGUUUUCGGAUCGUAAAACUCUGUUGUUAGGGAAGAACAAGUGCCGUUCGGGCGGCACCUUGACGGUACCUAACGAGAAAGCCACGGCUAACUACGUGCCAGCAGCCGCGGUAAUACGUAGGUGGCUUUAGUCAAAGCGUUGUCCGGAAUUAUUGGGCGUAAAGCGCGCGCAGGCGGUCUCUUAAGUCUGAAAAGCCCCCGGCUCAACCGGGGAGGGUCAUUGGAAACUGGGAGACUUGAGUACAGAAGAGGAGAGUGGAAUUCCACGUGUAGCGGUGAAAUGCGUAGAGAUGUGGAGGAACACCAGUGGCGAAGACUCUCUGGUCUGUAACUGACGCUGAGGCGGAUCAAGCGAAAGCGUGGGGAGCAAACAGGAUUAGAUACCCUGGUAGUCCACGCCGUAAACGAUGAGUGCUAGGUGUUAGGGGUUUCGACGCCCUUAGUGCCGAAGUUAACAAGCACUCCGCCUAAUACCAGUGGGGAGUACGACCGCAAGGUUGAAACUCAAAGGAAUUGACGGGGGCCCGCACAAGCAGUGGAGCAUGUGAAUUCGAAGCAACGCGGGUACGUAAGAACCUUACCCUUGACAUCCUUUGACCACCCUAGAGAUAGGGCUUUCCCCUUCGGGGGACAAAGUGACAGGUGGUGCAUGGUUGUCGUCAGCUUGAUUCGUGUCGUGAGAUGUUAAGUCCCGCAACGAGCGCAACCCUUGACCUUAGUUGCCAGCAUUCAGUUGGGCACUCUAAGGUGACUGCCGGUGACAAACCGGAGGAAGGUGGGGAUUCAAAUCAUCAUGCCCCUUAUGACCUGGGCUACACACGUGCUGGAUGGUACAAAUUAGUCGGGUUGCGAAGCCGCGAGGUGAAGCCAAUCCCAGAAAGCCAUUCUCAGUUCGGAUUGCAGGCUGCAACUCGCCUGCAUGAAGCCGGAAUUGCUAGUAAUCGCGGAUCAGCAUGCCGCGGUGAAUACGUUCCCGGGCCUUGUACACACCGCCCGUCACACCACGAGAGUUUGUAACGAAGUCGGUGGGGUCUUUUUGGAGCCAGCCGCCUAAGGUGGGACAGAUGAUUGGGGUGAAGUCG
rnacentral:rRNA from 1 species